GAGCUUGCAUGUUGGUGAAAAGAAGAACCCGGGUGAGACUACAGUAAAUCUAGUUAACAGUAAAAUGCAAAGCUGUACCAAGGUCCUAGCAAGCUGUAAAAUGCAGUUAAUCAGAAUGCCAUUUUUUUUUGUUCAAAUAAUUUUAAUUAUUGGAAUGCACAAUUUUUAAAUAUGCAAAUAAAAAGUUUUAAAACCUGAAAAAAAAA